AUUGAACGCUGGCGGCAUGCCUUACACAUGCAAGUCGAACGGCAGCACGGGAGCAAUCCUGGUGGCGAGUGGCGAACGGGUGAGUAAAGUAUCGGAACGUGCCCAGUCGUGGGGGAUAACGUAGCGAAAGUUACGCUAAUACCGCAUACGAUCUAUGAAUGAAAGCGGGGGAUCGCAAGACCUCGCGCGAUUGGAGGGGCCGAUAUCAGAUUAGGCAGGUGGGGGGGUAAAGGCUCACCAAGCCGACGAUCUGGAGCUGGUCUGAGAGGACGACCAGCCACACUGGGACUGAGACACGGCCCAGACUCCUACGGGAGGCAGCAGUGGGGAAUUUUGGACAAUGGGCGAAAGCCUGAUCCAGCCAUGCCGCGUGCAGGAUGAAGGCCUUCGGGUUGUAAACUGCUUUUGUACGGAACGAAAAGGUUUGGCCUAAUAAGCUGAGCUCAUGACGGUACCGUAAGAAUAAGCACCGGCUAACUACGUGCCAGCCGCCGCCGUAA
rnacentral:rRNA from 1 species